AAUCCUGGCUCAGGAUGAACGCUAGCUACAGGCUUAACACAUGCAAGUCGAGGGGCAUCAGGGUGUAGCAAUACACCGCUGGCGACCGGCGCACGGGUGAGUAACACGUAUCCAACCUGCCCUUUACUCGGGGAUAGCCUUUCGAAAGAAAGAUUAAUACCCGAUGGUAUAACAUGACCUCCUGGUUUUGUUAUUAAAGAAUUUCGGUAGAGGAUGGGGAGUGCGUUCCAUUAGGCAGUUGGCGGGGUAACGGGCCCGACCCAAACCCUUACG
rnacentral:rRNA from 1 species